UUGGUCUGUCCUAAGUCAAACUUGAUAAACUUUGACCGAGUUUAUAGAAAAAUAUAACAACAACUAUACUACCAAAUAUAUGUACUAUCAAAACAUAUUACAUGGCGCAUUCAAUGAAACAAAAUUGGUAUUGUAGAUAUUAUUAUAUUUCUUUAUAAACUUGGUCAAAGUUGGAUAAAUUUGACUUAGGACAAACCAAA
rnacentral:pre_miRNA from 1 species